rnacentral:rRNA from 1 species
GGUACGUCAGAGCGAAGCUGAUGCAGCCAUGCCGCGUGUGUGAGAAGGCCUUCGGGUUGUAAAGCUCUUUUGCAGGGAGGAAGGUGCCGGGACUAAUACCCUAGGACUUGACCGUUCCUAGCGAAGAAGCACCGGCUAACUUCGUGCCCCAGCCGCGGUUUAAA